CCCAAAUUAUUUUCACAUACAGUAUAAUGUAUAAUAUCCUAAUUUACUGUUACGGUACUGUGUUAUUAAAAACAAAUAUUUAUUCUUCAUAAUUUCAUUCAAGGCAAGCAAGUCCAGUGGAAUUGUACCCUUCCAGUGUCCUACUGCAAAGCAGACCUUGAUGAGUCUUCGGAUGCUGCAGACUAUCUUCCAGACUCAUGUGGCAAUUCCUCGGAUGCUUCUAUUAUAAGUACUACAAGUUCUUGUAGUAAGGAAUAUAAAACCACAGAAAAGAAUCUCCACCACAAAUUGUCAGAGAACAAACCAUUAGGGAAUGUUACAGCACACAGUGGGGAUAGUACCACCAGUUCAGAGAAGCCAAGAACAUUAAGUUAUUCAAAGAUGCGCAGCAAUCCUUGUACUUCAGUAAUAAGCUGCAGUGCCAAUUCAUCAGAGAACACAUCACACCAGAAAAGCUCCAUAAAUGUCACACCUUUGUCAAUAACAGCAAAAGGAAGCAAGUACAACAAGAAGCAAUUUUGUCUUUAUUGUAAAAAGGCCAUUUAUAAAUUGGCAAGACACCUCGAAUCCAUCCACAGUGAAAAGCCUGAUGUUGCAAUGGCUUUCAGUUUUAAUAAAGGAUCCCGCAAAAGAAGAGAGUUGUUACGCUCUCUUAAGAAGAGAUGAAACUUUGACUAUAAUACUGAAGUGGCAAGCUGUGGCACUGGAGAGAUGGUUGCCUGUAAAAGACCUAGUAAUGCAAAACCAUCUGAUGACUACCGUGACUGCAAAUUUUGCGAAGGACUGUAUGCAAGAAAUUCCCUAUGGAGACAUGUGAGAAACUGCCCGAAGAAGUCUGUUGAGGGAGAGCCUCAAGUUGGGCGAAAACGGAUUAAACUGCACUUACCAAGACCUGACUCAGUUAAGGAAACUGUUUGGAAGAUUGCUUGUGAAAUGAACCAGGAUGACGUUUCCUCGGUUGUAAGGAGUGAAACUGAAUUCCUUUGUAUCGGCGAGUCACUGUUGAAUUCCAGGAAACCAUAUGAGAGAAGGAAUGACUACAUACGCCAAAAAAUUAGAGCGAUGGCAAGACUAUUGAUAACGGCAAGGGCUAUAACACCUUUGAAGAGCACCGAAGUCCUUGUUAUGCCCUGUAACUUUCCCCAUGUGAUACAGGCAGUAAGAUAUGUUGCUGGUUAUGAUGUUGAAAGCAACUCGUAUAAAAUCCCAUCAUUGGCUUUGAAAUUGGGACACAGUUUAGCCAAAGUUGCAGGCAUUAUUCAAUGCAAUGCCAUCACUGCACAUCGCCCUGCUGUUGCAGAGUCUGCAAAGCAAUUUGCCACUUUACAUCAGAAAAAGUGGACAGAGUCCAUUUCAGCUGCCGCAUUGGGUACGCUUCAACAAGCCAAAUGGAAUAAACCACAGGUUUGACCCUUUACAGAGGAUGUGUCGGUGCUGCACACGUUUCUUGCUACUGAGCGUGCUAAGUGUAUGAAGGACCUUGAGGAAGAACCCAACAGCAAAAGCUUUGGAAAUCUUCCUAAAGUGACUUUGAUGCAGGUAGUACUAUUUAACAGAAGGAGGGAAGGGGAAGUUUCAAAAAUGGAGCUUCAGUCUUUCACAUCCAGGGAUCUUACGGAGCUGAAUCCAGACAUUGUGAGGGGCCUUACUGACUUCGAGAGGAAGCUUGCAGAGCACUUUGAGAGAGUUGAGAUUCGAGGUAAAAGGUCAAGAAAGGUUCCAGUGCUUCUAACCCCUGACAUGAUCACUGCUAUGGACCUCCUCAUGAUAAGCAGAAAAGAGUGUCAAGUCCACAAAGAAAAUGUGUACAUGUUUACACGGCCAGGUGUCCUUUCCCAUUACAGAGGCUCUGACUGCUUUCGCAAGUAUUCAAACAAUGUGGUGCAAAGAACCCAGAGGCACUCACCUCAACAAGAUUGCGGAAACAAGUCGCCACUUUGUCCACACUACUAAACCUCAAAGAAAAUGAAAUGGAUCAACUUGCCACCUUUCUAGGACAUGACAUCCGUGUCCAUAGAGAAUUCUAUCGGCUUCCAGAGAGUACCCUGCAGCUCGCAAAAGUCAGCAAACUGUUGAUAGCAAUCGAAAAAGGAAGACUGCCUUACCUGCAGGGGAAAGGGCUGGAUGACAUUGAGGUCAAUCCUGAAGUAGAAAUGAGUGAUGAUGAUUCCAGUGAAGAAACCAUUGCUGACCUACAUCAAUGCAAAGGCUCAACAACAGAGACUUCUAGGGACCAGACACUUCUGAGGCAAACACCAGAGUCAACCACCCUGGACAACAUGGAGGGCACUUCUGAGUCAACCACCCUGGACAACAUGAAGGGCACUCCUGAGUCAACCACCUUGGAUAACGUACACAUGAGCAACACACAACCAAGACAUGGUAAAAUAGUCACAUCCCAAGCAUCCUCAAAGUGCUCCAAAGGAAAGCAAGCUGUGAAGGUGAGAAGCAAGUGGACAGGUGAUGAAGUGAAAGCUGUUGAGCGGCAUUUGCUUAAUUUCAUAACAAGCUGCAGAAUACCAGGUAAAAAGGACUGUGACUCCUGCCUCCAAGCAGAGCCAGUAGCUCUGAAAGACAGAGACUGGGUUGCUAUCAAAUACUACAUCCACAACAGAAAUGUAGCAUUAAAAAGGAAGAUGAAUAGAUAGAACUAGAGCAUGCCAACUGUAGCUCAGGUACCAUUCAAUUCCAAUUUCAAUCAGCUUCUCCUCAGAUAGUGUUAAUAUCUGUGGGUUUCAUGUUCAUAUUAUUUUAUUUUCCUUAAAUGAUUUAUAUUGUUGGUUCUUGUACAAACAUGCCACAUAGGCUCGACUGUAGAUCCCACAUGUUUGUAUGUUUAUGUAUAAUUGAGGGCUAUUAAUGAGCAUAUGUUUGCUACUUAUGGUCACAUUUUUUUGGGAUAACAGUUGAUGAUAUAUGUUAAUACUCUGCUCUCAUUGACAGGGAAAAGAGAUAAACAGUACUUAAAGGGAUUGUUAUUGUUCCUAAGUUUUCAGAAGCACUUUGUUCUUAACCACAAGUUGUUGAAUGUGGCAAGGUGUUUAAAUUACUGUUAAACUAUUACCAUUUCAAUGGGUGCUUGUAACAGGCCUUGUGUAUGGUAACUUGCACUAUGUAACUAUGAUGUAAAUCCCUAUGUUAUUUAGACAGGUUAGCUGAAUGUACACUGUCAUGUUUCAUAGAAGCUGGAUGCUUUAAUAGAGAGUUUCUCAUUCAUUUCAAACAUGCCAUUUCUACUGCCUUGUGCAUUGCAGGGAAGGAGGCAAAGUGUAGGUGGUCUAUUCUGGGUGUUCAAUUGAUUUGUUAAUUUGCAUAUUUUCGCUGGCACUCAAUAAAAGUAAGGCAUAAAGUGUU